AUGGCCCUUUUUCAUCCUUUAGGUCUUGAAAGUCAGUGGGGAGGGAUAAGCAGCUGCAGAGAAGGCGCAUCGGCAGCUGCACAGGGUGGAAGAAGUGGUGGUGGCGGUGGCAAUAGUGGGGCUGGCGGUGGCCUCAGCUGUGGGACAAGUAGUAAUUGAAGCGAUUUGUUGGAUAAGUGGAAGAUUGAUGAUAAACCAGUAAAAAUUGACAAAUGGGAUGGAUCUGCUGUGAAAAAUUCUUUGGAUGAUUCUACCAAAAAUGUACUUCUGGAAAAGUACAAGUACGUGGAGAAUUUUAGUUUAAUCAAUGGCCGCCUCACCAUCUGUACCAUUUCCUGUCUUCUUGCCAUAGUGGCUUUGAUUUGGGAUUAUAUGCACCCCUUUCCAGAGUCAAAGCUGGUUUUGGCUUUGUGUGUCAUAUCCUGUUUUGUCAUGAUGGGGGAUCCUGACUAUUUAUAGCUCUUAUAAGGAGAAGAGCAUCUUUCUAGUGGCUCACAGGAAAGAUCCUACAGGGAUGAAUCCUGAUGAUAUUUGGCAACUGUCCUCCAGUCUCAAAAGGUUUGAUGACACAUACACUCUGAACCUGACCUUCAUUAGUGGGAGA